rnacentral:rRNA from 1 species
GCUGUUUUUCAGCCUAAACAGCUGUUAGAGUAAGAGGUGGGCAAGACCGGUGCCAGCCGCCGCGGUAACACCGGCAUCUCGAGUGGUAUCCACUUUUAUUGGGUCUAAAGCGUCCGUAGCUGGUUUAGUAAAUUCUUGGGUAAAUCGUACCGCUUAACGGUGCGGAUUCUGGGGACACUACUAGACUUGGGACCGGGGGAGGUCAGAAGUACUUGUGGGGUAGCGGUGAAAUGUUGUAAUCCUACAGGGACUACCAGUGGCGAAGGCGUCUGACCAAAACGGCUCCGACAGUGAGGGACGAAACCCUGGGGCGCAAACGGGAUUAGAUACCCCGGUAGUCCAGGGCGUAAACGCUGCAGACUUGGUGUUGGAGACUCUAUGGGAGUGUCCAGUGCCGGAGCGAAGGUGUUAAGUCUGCCACCUGGGGAGUACGAUCGCAAGAUUGAAACUUAAAGGAAUUGGCGGGGGAGCACUGCAACAGGUGGAGCGUGCGGUUUAAUUGGAUUCAACGCCGGAAAACUCACCGGGGGCGACGGUUACAUGAAAGUCAGGUUGAUGACCUUACUAGAUUUUCCGAGAGGUGGUGCAUGGCCGCCGUCAGUUCGUACCGUAAGGCGUUCUGUUAAGUCAGAUAACGAACGAGACCCUUCUCACCAUUUGCUAGGUCUCUCUCCGGAGAGGCUGUACUAUGGUGAUACCGCUGUUGUUAAAACAGAGGAAGGAAAGGGCAACGGUAGGUCAGUAUGCCCCGAAUCUCCCGGGCUACACGCGCGCUACAAAGGAUGGGACAAUGGGUCUCAACACCGAAAGGUGAAGGUAAUCCCGAAACCUAUUCAUAAUUCGGAUUGAGGGCUGCAACUCGCCCUCAUGAAGCUGGAAUCUGUAGUAAUCGCGGGUCAACAUCCCGCGGUGAAUAUGCCCCUGCUCCUUGCACACACCGCCCGUCAAACCACCUUAGUUGGGUCUUGAUGAGGGUUCGUCUUAUGGCGCGCUCGAAUCUGG